rnacentral:lncRNA from 1 species
GUUUUCGAUAUCAUAUCGAGUGAAAUGUAUGGACCAAGUGGGAGAAUGUAAACCUUUGGUAUUUUUAAAUGGUCCAAUCAUCUUCCUCUUUUAUUGGAAGUUAUUCACCUUCUCACCUUCUCAUAACUGUCCAUCUUCCCUAAUGUUUGGCUUGAUCCUUUUUCUUUCCAGGAACUGUCAAGUUCACCUUCUCACCCUCUUCCAUUGCUAACCUUCCCUCCUCUUGAACACACAUGGUCAACAGUUCAUUAAUUGACCAUUUGUCGUUAUGUGUGUAAUAAGAGAUCUUAAAGGGACCAUAUUGCUGGGGCAGAGUGCACAGAAUGAAGUGAACCAGGAAAGUAUCUGACAUCUCAACUUCCAACGCUUUCAGUUGAGCUGCUAUAUCCCUCAUGCGCAUGAUAUGAUCACGCACGCCUCUAAUCCCGGUGAGCUUCAUGGAUGAGAACUGCAUAAUUAGGGUGCUUGCUAAUGUCUUGUCUGAUGUCACAAAUUGAUCAUCAAUUGCCUUCAGCAAUUCUCGAACAUUGUCGUAUUGCUCGACAGAACCCCUAAUCCCAGCAGAUAUUUUGGUCUUUAUGAACAUGACUGAAAGGCGAUUAGAUCGCUCCCAUUUUUCAUAAAGAUCAACUUGGUCUGGAAUGCUGGUUUCAGUAAUUUUAGGUGGUUCGUCUUUCCUAAUAGCAUAGUCAAUGUCCAUCCACCCUAAGUGAAGGAGAAUCCUUUCCUUCCAAACCUUAUAGUU